rnacentral:rRNA from 1 species
UAGGGAAUCUUCGGCAAUGGGGGCAACCCUGACCGAGCAACGCCGCGUGAGUGAAGAAGGUUUUCGGAUCGUAAAGCUCUGUUGUAAGUCAAGAACGGGUGUGAGAGUGGAAAGUUCACACUGUGAUGGUAGCUUACCAGAAAGGGACGGCUAACUACGUGCCAGCAGCCGCGGUAAUACGUAGGUCCCGAGCGUUGUCCGGAUUUAUUGGGCGUAAAGCGAGCGCAGGCGGUUUGAUAAGUCUGAAGUUAAAGGCUGUGGCUCAACCAUAGUUCGCUUUGGAAACUGUCAAACUUGAGUGCAGAAGGGGAGAGUGGAAUUCCAUGUGUAGCGGUGAAAUGCGUAGAUAUAUGGAGGAACACCGGUGGCGAAAAGCGGCUCUCUGGUCUGUAACUGACGCUGAGGCUCGAAAGCGUGGGGAGCGAACAGGAUUAGAUACCCUGGUAGUCCACGCCGUAAACGAUGAGUGCUAGG